AUACUUACCUGGCUCAGGAGAUACCGUGAUCAAGUAGGCGGUUCUCCCAUUGCGAGGCCUUUCCAUUGCACUUCGGAGGGCUGACUGAUGCGAUUCCCCCAAACGUGGGGAACUCGGGAGUACAAUUUCUGAUAGUGGGGACUGCGUUCGCGCUCUCCCCGU
rnacentral:snRNA from 1 species